AUUAAACGCUGGCGGCAUGCCUUACACAUGCAAGUCGAACGGUAGCGCGGGGCAACCUGGCGACGAGUGGCGAACGGGUGAGUAAAGCAUCGGAACGUGCCCUGGAAUAGGGGAUAACGUAGCGAAAGUUACGCUAAUACCGCAUAUUCUGUGAGCAGGAAAGCAGGGGAUCGCAAGACCUUGCGUUCUGGGAGCGGCCGAUGUCGGAUUAGCUAGUUGGUGGGGUAAAGGCCUACCAAGGCGACGAUCCGUAGCGGGUCUGAGAGGAUGAUCCGCCACACUGGGACUGAGACACGGCCCAGACUCCUACGGGAGGCAGCAGUGGGGAAUUUUGGACAAUGGGCGGAAGCCUGAUCCAGCCAUGCCGCGUGAGUGAAGAAGGCCUCGG
rnacentral:rRNA from 1 species